GGGUGGAGGAGAGAGGAGAGGAGGGAGGAAGAGAGAGGGAGAAACUCAGUCCUUUCCCUCCCCAAGAAGAUCCUCCCUUGAGAAACUGACUCCAGAUCUUUACCUGGAAUACUCGGCUCCCAAAUACGAAUCAGAGUUGUCUAUUGCUAAAGAACUCUUCUACUUUUCCAGGAGGUAGGAAAGGCUUCCAAGAGACUUAGGAGCCUGCUGAAGAGCUUUCACUUUUCUCUUAGUCAUCUAGAGGAUAAUCUGGAAGAGAGUCAUCCCAUAUAACAAAGGAUUUUUAAAAACACACAAUUCAACAAAACUAACUGAUACAUCACCUGAGUCUGGUAUCUCAUGAAGCGUCCUACUGCUAUAGUUCCUCACGUCCGCAAAGGAAGGAGAGAGGUCAUGUUUAUAGGGUGAAGAAAGGGAUAUGUUGGAAACCGUUGGUAAUGUAAAAAUAAACACGGCA